rnacentral:rRNA from 1 species
GCUAGUUGGUGAGGUAAUGGCUCACCAAGGCGACGAUCCCUAGCUGGUCUGAGAGGAUGAUCAGCCACACUGGAACUGAGACACGGUCCAGACUCCUACGGGAGGCAGCAGUGGGGAAUAUUGCACAAUGGGCGCAAGCCUGAUGCAGCCAUGCCGCGUGUGUGAAGAAGGCCUUCGGGUUGUAAAGCACUUUCAGUCGUGAGGAAGGUAGUGUAGUUAAUAGCUGCAUUAUUUGACGUUAGCGACAGAAGAAGCACCGGCUAACUCCGUGCCAGCAGCCGCGGUAAUACGGAGGGUGCGAGCGUUAAUCGGAAUUACUGGGCGUAAAGCGCAUGCAGGUGGUUUGUUAAGUCAGAUGUGAAAGCCCGGGGCUCAACCUCGGAAUAGCAUUUGAAACUGGCAGACUAGAGUACUGUAGAGGGGGGUAGAAUUUCAGGUGUAGCGGUGAAAUGCGUAGAGAUCUGAAGGAAUACCGGUGGCGAAGGCGGCCCCCUGGACAGAUACUGACACUCAGAUGCGAAAGCGUGGGGAGCAAACAGGAUUAGAUACCCUGGUAGUCCACGCCGUAAACGAUGUCUACUUGGAGGUUGUGGCCUUGAGCCGUGGCUUUCGGAGCUAACGCGUUAAGUAGACCGCCUGGGGAGUACGGUCGCAAGAUUAAAACUCAAAUGAAUUGACGGGGGCCCGCACAAGCGGUGGAGCAUGUGGUUUAAUUCGAUGCAACGCGAAGAACCUUACCUACUCUUGACAUCCAGAGAACUUUCCAGAGAUGGAUUGGUGCCUUCGGGAACUCUGAGACAGGU